GACGAACGCUGGCGGCGUGCUCAACACAUGCAAGUCGAACGUGAAGCUCCGAGCUUGCUCGGGAGUACACGAGCGGCGAACGGGUGAGUAACACGUGAGCAAUCUGCCCUUCACACUGGGAUAACCCCCGGAAACGGGAGCUAAUACCAGAUACGACCACUUCGGGCAUCCGAUGGUGGUGGAAAGUUCCGGCGGUGAAGGAGGAGCUCGCGGCCUAUCAGCUUGUUGGUGAGGUAAUGGCUCACCAAGGCUUCGACGGGUAGCCGGCCUGAGAGGGUGACCGGCCACACUGGGACUGAGACACGGCCCAGACUCCUACGGGAGGCAGCAGUGGGGAAUAUUGGACAAUGGGCGAAAGCCUGAUCCAGCAACGCCGCGUGAGGGAUGACGGCCUUCGGGUUGUAAACCUCUUUCAGCAGGGACGAAGCGAAAGUGACGGUACCUGCAGAAGAAGGACCGGCCAACUACGUGCCAGCAGCCGCCGUAACAC
rnacentral:rRNA from 1 species